GGGCGUGUCGUCUAAUGGGAAGACACUGCGCUUGCACCGCAGUUAUGAGGGUUCGACUCCCUCCACGGUCCACCA
rnacentral:tRNA from 1 species